CAGUCGCCGCGGGAAUCCGUAGGUGGCAAGCGUUGUCCGGAAUUAUUGGGCGUAAAGGGCUCGCAGGCGGUUUCUUAAGUCUGAUGUGAAAGCCCCCGGCUCAACCGGGGAGGGUCAUUGGAAACUGGGAAACUUGAGUGCAGAAGAGGAGAGUGGAAUUCCACGUGUAGCGGUGGAAUGCGUAGAGAUGUGGAGGAACACCAGUGGCGAAGGCGACUCUCUGGUCUGUAACUGACGCUGAGGAGCGAAAGCGUGGGGAGCGAACAGGAUUAGAUACCCGCGUAGUCCCUGUCUCUUAUAC
rnacentral:rRNA from 1 species